UGCAGUCGAGGGGUAGAGUUAGCUUGCUAACUUGAGACCGGCGCACGGGUGCGUAACGCGUAUGCAAUCUACCUUGUACAGGGGGAUAGCCCAGAGAAAUUUGGAUUAAUACCCCAUAGUAUCUUUUGAAGGCAUCUUCAAAUUAUUAAAGUUCCAACGGUACAAGAUGAGCAUGCGUCCCAUUAGUUAGUUGGUGUGGUAACGGCACACCAAGACGAUGAUGGGUAGGGGUCCUGAGAGGGAGAUCCCCCACACUGGUACUGAGACACGGACCAGACUCCUACGGGAGGCAGCAGUGAGGAAUAUUGGGCAAUGGAGGCAACUCUGACCCAGCCAUGCCGCGUGCAGGAAGACGGCCCUAUGGGUUGUAAACUGCUUUUGUACGGGAAGAAACACUCCCUCGUGAGGGAGCUUGACGGUACCGUAAGAAUAAGGAUCGGCUAACUCCGUGCCAGCAGCCGCGGUAAUACGGAGGAUCCAAGCGUUAUCCGGAAUCAUUGGGUUUAAAGGGUCCGCAGGCGGCCUUAUAAGUCAGUGGUGAAAUCUCCUAGCUCAACUAGGAAACUGCCAUUGAUACUGUAGGGCUUGAAUUUUUGUGAAGUAACUAGAAUAUGUAGUGUAGCGGUGAAAUGCUUAGAUAUUACAUGGAAUACCAAUUGCGAAGGCAGGUUACUAACAAACGAUUGACGCUGAUGGACGAAAGCGUGGGGAGCGAACAGGAUUAGAUACCCUGGUAGUCCACGCUGUAAACGAUGGAUACUAGCUGUUUGAAGCAAUUUGAGUGGCUAAGCGAAAGUGAUAAGUAUCCCACCUGGGGAGUACGCACGCAAGUGUGAAACUCAAAGGAAUUGACGGGGGCCCGCACAAGCGGUGGAGCAUGUGGUUUAAUUCGAUGAU
rnacentral:rRNA from 1 species